GCGGCGUGCCUAAUACAUGCAAGUAGAACGCUGAAGAGAGGAGCUUGCUCUUCUUGGAUGAGUUGCGAACGGGUGAGUAACGCGUAGGUAACCUGCCUUGUAGCGGGGGAUAACUAUUGGAAACGAUAGCUAAUACCGCAUAACAAUGGAUGACACAUGUCAUUUAUUUGAAAGGGGCAAUUGCUCCACUACAAGAUGGACCUGCGUUGUAUUAGCUAGUAGGUGAGGUAACGGCUCACCUAGGCGACGAUACAUAGCCGACCUGAGAGGGUGAUCGGCCACACUGGGACUGAGACACGGCCCAGACUCCUACGGGAGGCAGCAGUAGGGAAUCUUCGGCAAUGGGGGCAACCCUGACCGAGCAACGCCGCGUGAGUGAAGAAGGUUUUCGGAUCGUAAAGCUCUGUUGUAAGUCAAGAACGAGUGUGAGAGUGGAAAGUUCACACUGUGACGGUAGCUUACCAGAAAGGGACGGCUAACUACGUGCCAGCAGCCGCAGUAAUACGUAGGUCCCGAGCGUUGUCCGGAUUUAUUGGGCGUAAAGCGAGCGCAGGCGGUUUGAUAAGUCUGAAGUUAAAGGCUGUGGCUCAACCAUAGUUCGCUUUGGAAACUGUCAAACUUGAGUGCAGAAGGGGAGAGUGGAAUUCCAUGUGUAGCGGUGAGAUGCGUAGAUAUAUGGAGGAACACCGGUGGCGAAAGCGGCUCUCUGGUCUGUAACUGACGCUGAGGCUCGAAAGCGUGGGGAGCGAACAGGAUUAGAUACCCUGGUAGUCCACGCCGUAAACGAUGAGUGCUAGGUGUUGGAUCCUUUCCGGGAUUCAGUGCCGCAGCUAACGCAUUAAGCACUCCGCCUGGGGAGUACGACCGCAAGGUUGAAACUCAAAGGAAUUGACGGGGGCCCGCACAAGCGGUGGAGCAUGUGGUUUAAUUCGAAGCAACGCGAAGAACCUUACCAGGUCUUGACAUCCCGAUGCUAUUUCUAGAGAUAGAAAGUUACUUCGGUACAUCGGUGACAGGUGGUGCAUGGUUGUCGUCAGCUCGUGUCGUGAGAUGUUGGGUUAAGUCCCGCAACGAGCGCAACCCCUAUUGUUAGUUGCCAUCAUUCAGUUGGGCACUCUAGCGAGACUGCCGGUAAUAAACCGGAGGAAGGUGGGGAUGACGUCAAAUCAUCAUGCCCCUUAUGACCUGGGCUACACACGUGCUACAAUGGUUGGUACAACGAGUUGCGAGUCGGUGACGGCAAGCUAAUCUCUUAAAGCCAAUCUCAGUUCGGAUUGUAGGCUGCAACUCGCCUACAUGAAGUCGGAAUCGCUAGUAAUCGCGGAUCAGCACGCCGCGGUGAAUACGUUCCCGGGCCUUGUACACACCGCCCGUCACACCACGAGAGUUUGUAACACCCGAAGUCGGUGAGGUAACCUUUUGGAGCCAGCCGCCUAAGGUGGGAUAGAUGAUUGGGGUG
rnacentral:rRNA from 1 species